rnacentral:rRNA from 1 species
UUCCGGUUGAUCCCGCCGGAGGUUACUGCUAUUGGUGUUCGACUAAGCCAUGCAAGUCAUAUGUUCCUCGUGAACAUGGCAUACUGCUCAGUAACACGUGGAUAACCUGCCCUUGGGUCUGGGAUAACCCCGGGAAACUGGGGAUAAUACCGGAUAACGCAUAUGUGCUGGAAUGCUUUAUGCGUAAAAUGGAUUCGUCCGCCCAAGGAUGGGUCUGCGGCCUAUCAGGUAGUAGUGGGUGUAAUGUACCUACUAGCCAACAACGGGUACGGGUUGUGAGAGCAAGAGCCCGGAGAUGGAUUCUGAGACAUGAAUCCAGGCCCUACGGGGCGCAGCAGGCGCGAAAACUUUACAAUGCGGGAAACCGUGAUAAGGGAACACCGAGUGCCAGCAUCAUAUGCUGGCUGUCCAGAUGUGUAAACUACAUCUGUUAGCAAGGGCCGGGCAAGACCGGUGCCAGCCGCCGCGGUAAUACCGGCGGCUCGAGUGGUGGCCGCUUUUAUUGGGCUUAAAGCGUUCGUAGCUGGGUUGUUAAGUCUCUUGGGAAAUCUGGCGGCUUAACCGUCAGGCGUCUAAGGGAUACUGGCAAUCUUGGAACCGGGAGAGGUGAGGGGUACUUCGGGGGUAGGAGUGAAAUCCUGUAAUCCUCAAGGGACCACCUGUGGCGAAGGCGCCUCACCAGAACGGCUUCGACAGUGAGGGACGAAAGCUGGGGGAGCAAACCGGAUUAGAUACCCGGGUAGUCCCAGCCGUAGACUAUGCGCGUUAGGUGUAUCGGUGACCACGAGUUACCGAGGUGCCGAAGGGAAACCGUGAAACGUGCCGCCUGGGAAGUACGGUCGCAAGGCUGAAACUUAAAGGAAUUGGCGGGGGAGCACCACAACAGGUGGAGCCUGCGGUUUAAUUGGACUCAACGCCGGGAAGCUCACCGGAUAAGACAGCAGAAUGAUUGCCGGGCUGAAGACUCUGCAUGACUAGCUGAGAGGAGGUGCAUGGCC